rnacentral:rRNA from 1 species
GAUGAACGCUGGCGGCGUGCCUAAUACAUGCAAGUCGAGCGAACAGACGAGGAGCUUGCUCCUCUGACGUUAGCGGCGGACGGGUGAGUAACACGUGGAUAACCUACCUAUAAGACUGGGAUAACUUCGGGAAACCGGAGCUAAUACCGGAUAAUAUAUUGAACCGCAUGGUUCAAUAGUGAAAGACGGUUUUGCUGUCACUUAUAGAUGGAUCCGCGCCGCAUUAGCUAGUUGGUAAGGUAACGGCUUACCAAGGCAACGAUGCGUAGCCGACCUGAGAGGGUGAUCGGCCACACCGGAACUGAGACACGGUCCAGACUCCUACGGGAGGCAGCAGUAGGGAAUCUUCCGCAGUGGGCGAAAGCUUGACGGAGCAACGCCGCGUGAGUGAUGAAGGUCUUCGGAUCGUAAAACUCUGUUAUUAGGGAAGAACAAAUGUGUAAGUAACUAUGCACGUCUUGACGGUACCUAAUCAGAAAGCCACGGCUAACUACGU